UACGGGGGGAGCAAGCGUUGUUCGGAUUUACUGGGCGUAAAGGGCGCGUAGGCGGUCGUGACAAGUCACUUGUGAAAUCUCCGGGCUUAACUCGGAACGGUCAAGUGAUACUGUCGGACUAGAGUACAGAAGGGGCAACUGGAAUUCUCGGUGUAGCGGUGAAAUGCGUAGAUAUCGAGAGGAACACCUGCGGCGAAGGCGGGUUGCUGGGCUGAUACUGACGCUGAGGCGCGAAAGCCAGGGGAGCGAACGAG
rnacentral:rRNA from 1 species